GACGAACGCUGGCGGCGUGCCUAAUACAUGCAAGUCGAACGCAGGGGGGACGGGGGAGGAACACGUGGGUAACCGCCCAUCAGAGGGGAUAACACUUGGAAACAGGUGCUAAACCGAUACUGAUGGAUGGACCCGAGGUGCAUUAGCUAGUUGGUGAGGUAACGGCUCACCAAGGCCACGAUGCAUAGCCGGCCUGAGAGGGUGAUGGGCCACACGGGGACUGGGACACGGCCCAGACUCCUACGUGAGGCAGCAGUAGGGAAUUUGCGGCAAUGGACGAAAGUCUGACCGAGAAACGCCGCGUGAGGGAAGAAGGUUUUCGGAUCGUAAAUCUCUGUUGUUAGAGAAGCGGUAUCUAACCAGAAAGCCACGGCUAACUACGUGCCAGCAGCCGCGGUAAUUC
rnacentral:rRNA from 1 species